rnacentral:rRNA from 1 species
GAUCAAAUCAAGCGCGAGAAGGGCGUUUGGUGAAUGCCUUGGCAGUAAGAGGCGAUGAAGGACGUGAUACUCUGCGAUAAGCCAUGGGGAGCUGAGAAUAGGCUUUGAUCCAUGGAUUUCCGAAUGGGGCAACCCACCUGAAUGUUCAUUAUUGUUGGCGCGAGCCGGUCAAUAGUGUUCAUAAACAGGUACUAAUUACCUGAAUACAUAGGGUUUUUAGAGCAAACCCGGGGAACUGAAACAUCUAAGUACCCGGAGGAAAGGACAUCAAUGAUACUCCCCUAGUAGCGGCGAGCGAACGGGGACCAGCCGAGCCAUGAGAGUGAGAAGAACAAUCUGGAAAGAUUGGCCAUAGCGGGUGACAGCCCCGUAUUCGAAGCUCGAUUGGACGUAUUAAGUAGGGCGGGACACGUGAAAUCCUGUCUGAAGAUCGGAGGACCACCUUCGAAGGCUAAGUACUCCUUACUGACCGAUAGUGAACCAGUACCGUGAGGGAAAGGUGAAAAGCACCCCGACGAGGGGAGUGAAACAGUUUCUGAAACCGGACGCCUACAAGCAGUCGGAGGGGCCUUGCGCCCUGACGGCGUACCUUUUGUAUAAUGGGUCAUCGACUUGGUCUCACGAGCAAGCUUAAGCCGAUAGGUGUAGGCGCAGCGAAAGCGAGUCUUAAUAGGGCGUUGAGUUCGUGGGAUCAGACCCGAAACCGAGUGAUCUAGGCAUGACCAGGCUGAAGGUGCGGUAACACGCACUGGAGGGCCGAACCCACACCUGUUGAAAAAGGUCGGGAUGAGUUGUGCCUAGGGGUGAAAGGCCAAUCAAACUCGGAGAUAGCUGGUUCUCCGCGAAAUCUAUUUAGGUAGAGCGUCAUCCGAAUACCCCGGGGGGUAGAGCACUGGAUGGGUAAUGGGGCCCCACAGGCUUACUGAUCCUAACCAAACUCCGAAUACCCGGGAGUACUAGAUGGCAGACACACGGCGGAUGCUAACGUCCGUCGUGGAGAGGGAAACAACCCUGACCUACAGCUAAGGCCCCCAAUUCAUGGCUAAGUGGGAAAGCUAGUGGGACGACCAAAACAACCAGGAGGUUGGCUUAGAAGCAGCCAUCCUUUAAAGAUAGCGUAACAGCUCACUGGUCUAAUCAAGUUGUCCUGCGGCGAAGAUGUAACGGGGCUCAAGCCAUGAGCCGAAGCUUAGGAUGCACUAUGUGCAUGGUAGCGGAGCGUAGUGUGAUAUAACUCCACGCCUCUUGUAUUUUUGUAACGCCUCUGCAGCUCAAUUGAGCUGCGCGGUAGCGCAAAAAUAACGGAGGCUCGGAGUUGACUGUGAAGCCGGCGCGUAAGCGAUCCGGUGGAGUGAUCACUAGCGAGAAUGAUGACAUGAGUAGCGACAAACAGGGUGAGAGACCCUGUCGCCGAAAGUCCAAGGGUUCCUGCUUAAAGCUAAUCUGAGCAGGGUAAGCCGGCCCCUAAGGCGAGGCAGAAAUGCGUAGCCGAUGGGAACCACGUUAAUAUUCGUGGGCCAGGAGGAUGUGACGGAUCGGAAACGUUGUUCGACCUUAUCGGAUUGGUCGGGCCGCUAACCGGUUCCAGGAAAUAGCCCUCCAUCAGACCGUACCCGAAACCGACACAGGUGGACUGGUAGAGAAUACCAAGGCGCUUGAGAGAACGAUGUUGAAGGAACUCGGCAAAAUACCUCCGUAAGUUCGCGAGAAGGAGGCCCGGUUUCUAGGCAACUAGUGGCUGGGGGCACAAACCAGGGGGUGGCGACUGUUUACUAAAAACACAGGGCUCUGCGAAGUCGCAAGACGACGUAUAGGGUCUGACGCCUGCCCGGUGCCGGAAGGUUAAAGGGAGGAGUGAGAGCUCCGAACUGAAGCCCCGGUAAACGGCGGCCGUAACUAUAACGGUCCUAAGGUAGCGAAAUUCCUUGUCGGGUAAGUUCCGACCUGCACGAAUGGCGUAACGACUUCCCCGCUGUCUCCAACAUCGACUCAGCGAAAUUGAAUUGCCUGUCAAGAUGCAGGCUUCCCGCGGUUAGACGGAAAGACCCCGUGCACCUUUACUACAGCUUCACACUGGCAACAGGCCAGCGAUGUGCAGGAUAGGUGGUAGGCUUUGAAACCGUGACGCCAGUCGCGGUGGAGCCUCCCUUGAGAUACCACCCUUCGCUCGCUUGUUGUCUAACCGCGGUCCGUUAUCCGGAUCCGGGACCCUGUGUGGCGGGUAGUUUGACUGGGGCGGUCGCCUCCUAAAGCGUAACGGAGGCGCGCGAAGGUUGGCUCAGAGCGGUCGGAAAUCGCUCGUUGAGUGCAAUGGCAGAAGCCAGCCUGACUGCAAGACUGACAAGUCGAGCAGAGUCGAAAGACGGCCAUAGUGAUCCGGUGGUCCCGAGUGGAAGGGCCAUCGCUCAACGGAUAAAAGGUACGCCGGGGAUAACAGGCUGAUGGUGCCCAAGAGUCCAUAUCGACGGCACCGUUUGGCACCUCGAUGUCGGCUCAUCUCAUCCUGGGGCUGGAGCAGGUCCCAAGGGUACGGCUGUUCGCCGUUUAAAGAGGUACGUGAGCUGGGUUUAGAACGUCGUGAGACAGUUCGGUCCCUAUCUGCCGUGGGUGUAGGAUACUUGAGAGGAGUUGCCCCUAGUACGAGAGGACCGGGGUGAACGAUCCACUGGUGGACCAGUUGUCAUGCCAAUGGCAGUGCUGGGUAGCUAUGAUCGGAAAGGAUAACCGCUGAAGGCAUCUAAGCGGGAAGCCCCCCUCAAAACAAGGUAUCCCUGAGGACCGUGGUAGACCACCACGUCGAUAGGCCGGAGAUGUAAGCGCAGCAAUGCGUUCAGUUGACCGGUACUAAUUGUCCGAUAGGCUUGAUUUGAUCCAG